rnacentral:rRNA from 1 species
UACGGGGGGGGCAAGCGUUGUUCGGAAUUACUGGGCGUAAAGGGCUCGUAGGCGGCUUGUCGCGUCGUCCGUGAAAACUUGGGGCUCAACCCCAAGCUUGCGGUCGAUACGGGCAGGCUCGAGUUCGGUAGGGGAGACUGGAAUUCCUGGUGUAGCGGUGAAAUGCGCAGAUAUCAGGAGGAACACCGGUGGCGAAGGCGGGUCUCUGGGCCGAUACUGACGCUGAGGAGCGAAAGCGUGGGGAGCGAACAGG